UACGUAGGGUGCAAGCGUUGUCCGGAAUUAUUGGGCGUAAAGGGCUCGUAGGCGGUUUGUCACGUCGGGAGUGAAAACUCGGGGCUUAACCCCGAGCCUGCUUCCGAUACGGGCAGACUAGAGGUAUGCAGGGGAGAACGGAAUUCCGGGUGUAGCGGUGGAAUGCGUAGAGAUCCGGAAGAACACCAGAGGCGAAGGCGGCUCGCUGGGCUUGGUCUGACGCUGAGGCGCGAAAGCGUGGGGAGCGAACAGG
rnacentral:rRNA from 1 species